GAUGAACGCUGGCGGCGUGCCUAAUACAUGCAAGUCGAGCGAACGGACGAGAAGCUUGCUUCUCUGAUGUUAGCGGCGGACGGGUGAGUAACACGUGGAUAACCUACCUAUAAGACUGGGAUAACUUCGGGAAACCGGAGCUAAUACCGGAUAAUAUUUUGAACCGCAUGGUUCAAAAGUGAAAGACGGUCUUGCUGUCACUUAUAGAUGGAUCCGCGCUGCAUUAGCUAGUUGGUAAGGUAACGGCUUACCAAGGCAACGAUGCAUAGCCGACCUGAGAGGGUGAUCGGCCACACUGGAAGUGAGACACGGUCCAGACGCCUAAGAGAGGCAGCAGUAGGGAAUCUUCCGCAAUGGGCGAAAGCCUGACGGAGCAACGCCGCGUGAGUGAUGAAGGUCUUCGGAUCGUAAAACUCUGUUAUUAGGGAAGAACAUAUGUGUAAGUAACUGUGCACAUCUUGACGGUACCUAAUCAGAAAGCCACGGCUAACUACGUG
rnacentral:rRNA from 1 species